UUGUUUUUCACAUUUUGAUAUUGCCAGGAUACCAUUCUUAAACAAACAACAAUAACGAAAAAACUUGUAGAGGCUGUGUCCGAGAUUUUUUCCGCUGCCAGGAAUUCCACUGUAGAUCGCGGUCGUUUUCGUUACCGUGUCGUGUCACUCGUCGGGUUCGUUGGAUCCCAUAUACAAUAUUCAAUUCCGGUAUUUCUGGUGUACCGAGCAAGGCGAACCUGCGACAGCAUGAUCACUGAUCAGUCGUGAAACUCAACGUCCGUUCAUAAGAUGUUUGGUCCAGCGCCCGUCACCUUUCUUCGUGCUGGUAACAAGUGAUUUGCAAUAAAGCGUUGGAUUUGGAAUCGAUUUUAACUUAACCAAGGACCACUGUAAUUUGUCACGGCGCAGUAUCGUGUACCGGACCAUGUUGAAGUACUACGGUAAUUCUGACGAUGAUGCGUACGAGAUGUGAAAAACUUGGUACCGAGAUCUCCAUCGAAAGUCGGUAAUUCUGCUGAGUACCCCGAUGAGUGAUGAGCAGAAAUGUAGAUUGCACAUUAUACAACCAUUAUUUACAAAUAAAAUUGUUCUUCAACAUUAA